rnacentral:rRNA from 1 species
AGCGAACGCUGGCGGCAGGCCUAACACAUGCGAGUCGAACGAUCCUUCGGGAUAGUGGCGGACGGGUGAGUAACACGUGGGAACGUGCCCUUUGGUUCGGAAUAACUCAGGGAAGCUUGAGCUAAUACCGGAUGUGCCAUUCGGGGGAAAGAUUUAUCGCCAUUGGAGCGGCCCGCGUUGGAGUAGAUAGUUGGUGGGGUAAAGGCCCACCAAGGCUACGAUCAAUAGCUGGUCUGAGAGGAUGAUCAGCCACACUGGGCCUGAGACACGGCCCAGACUCCUACGGGAGGCAGCAGUGGGUAAUCUUGCGCAAUGGGCGAAAGCCUGACUCAGCCAUGCCGCGUGAAUGAUGAAGGUCUUAGGAUUGUAAAAUUCUUUCACCCGGGACGAUAAUGACGGUACCCGGAGAAGAAGCCCCGGCUAACUUCGUGCCAGCAGCCGCCGUAA